AGUUCGGAUUGUAGUCUGCAACCCGACUACAUGAAGCUGGAAUCGCUAGUAAUCGCGGGUCAGAAUGCCGCGGUGAAUACGUUCCCGGGUCUUGUACACACCGCCCGUCACACCAUGGGAGUCGGAAAUGCCCGAAGUCAGUGACCCAACCGUAAGGAGGGAGCUGCCGAAGGUGGAGCCGGUAACUGGGGUGAAGUCGUAACAAGGUAGC
rnacentral:rRNA from 1 species